rfam:Tropilaelaps mercedesae isolate Wuxi-XJTLT scaffold0000027303, whole genome shotgun sequence.
ACCAUCGGCCAUAGUACGUUGAAUACGCUGGUUAUUGCCUGAUCACCGAAGCUAAACAACCUUGGGUCUGGGCAGUACUUGGAAUGGAGGCCGCCUGAUAACAGUGGGUGUUAAUGGCA